AAGUCGUAACAAGGUAACCGUAGGUGAACCUGCGGUUGGAUCAUUAAUAAAUAAAAGAUAAUUUAAUUAUCAACAUCUUGUGAAACGUUCUGUCUCUGGCGGAAGGGUGACAUUUCUUCCUUUGGGAAGUGGUCAUCUGUCAGCUUGUGUUUGUUGCUCGCAACAAUGCAGGCCGUGGACAAGCCGCCAAACAUGUAACAAACCUUUUUUUAAUUUUUAUAAAACUAACAUUCUUUGUAUUAAUGUACAAAACAACUUUUGGCAACGGAUCUCUUGGCUCUC
rnacentral:misc_RNA from 1 species